rnacentral:rRNA from 1 species
AGUGCGUUACGUGUAGUGCAUUGCAAGUACCUUGCGAAUAAGGAUCGGCUAACUCCGUGCCAGCAGCCGCGGUAAUACGGAGGAUCCGAGCGUUAUCCGGAUUUAUUGGGUUUAAAGGGUGCGCAGGCGGGGGAUUAGGUCGGCGGUGAAAUAUCAGGGCUCAACCUUGAGAGUGCCGUCGAAACCGGUUUUCUUGAGUGCGGAUGAAGUAGGCGGAAUUUGUGGUGUAGCGGUGAAAUGCGUAGAUAUCACAAAGAACACCGAUUGCGGAGGCAGCUUACUAAACCGCAACUGACGCUCAUGCACGAAGGCGUGGGGAUCAAACAGGAUUAGAUACCCUGGUAGUCCACGCAGUAAACGAUGAUUACUAGCUGUUUGCGAUACAAUGUAAGCGGCUGAGCGAAAGCGUUAAGUAAUCCACCUGGGGAGUACGUUCGCAAGAAUGAAACUCAAAGGAAUUGACGGGGGCCCGCACAAGCGGAGGAACAUGUGGUUUAAUUCGAUGAUACGCGAGGAACCUUACCCGGGCUUGAAAUGCAUCUGACCGGGCCGGAAACGGUCUUUCCCAGCGAUGGGCAGAUGUGUAGGUGCUGCAUGGUUGUCGUCAGCUCGUGCCGUGAGGUGUCGGCUUAAGUGCCAUAACGAGCGCAACCCUCAUCGUCAGUUACCAUCGGGUAAAGCCGGGGACUCUGACGAGACUGCCAUCGUAAGAUGCGAGGAAGGUGGGGAUGACGUCAAAUCAGCACGGCCCUUAUGUCCGGGGCGACACACGUGUUACAAUGGGCGGUACAGCGGGGAGCUACCUGGCGACAGGGAGCCGAUCCCGAAAGCCGCUCACAGUUCGGAUCGGAGUCUGCAACUCGACUCCGUGAAGUCGGAUUCGCUAGUAAUCGCGCAUCAGCCACGGCGCGGUGAAUACGUUCCCGGGUCUUGUACACACCGA